rnacentral:rRNA from 1 species
GACGAACGCUGGCGGCGUGCUUAACACAUGCAAGUCGAACGGAAAGGCCCUGCUUUUGUGGGGUGCUCGAGUGGCGAACGGGUGAGUAACACGUGAGAAACCUGCCCUUGACUUUGGGAUAACUUCAGGAAACUGGGGCUAAUACCGGAUAGGAGCUCCUGCUGCAUGGUGGGGGUUGGAAAGUUUCGGCGGUUGGGGAUGGACUCGCGGCUUAUCAGCUUGUUGGUUGGGUAGUGGCUUACCAAGGCUUUGACGGGUAGCCGGCCUGAGAGGGUGACCGGCCACAUUGGGACUGAGAUACGGCCCAGACUCCUACGGGAGGCAGCAGUGGGGAAGAUUGCACAAUGGGCGGAAGCCUGAUGCAGCAACGCCGCGUGCGGGAUGACGGCCUUCGGGUUGUAAACCGCUUUCGCCUGUGACGAAGCGUGAGUGACGGUAAUGGGUAAAGAAGCACCGGCUAACUACGUG